rnacentral:rRNA from 1 species
GAUGAACGCUGGCGGCGUGCCUAAUACAUGCAAGUCGAGCGAACGGACGAGAAGCUUGCUUCUCUGAUGUUAGCGGCGGACGGGUGAGUAACACGUGGAUAACCUACCUAUAAGACUGGGAUAACUUCGGGAAACCGUAGCUAAUACCGGAUAAUAUUUUGAACCGCAUGGUUCAAAAGUGAAAGACGGUCUUGCUGUCACUUAUAGAUGGAUCCGCGCUGCAUUAGCUAGUUGGUAAGGUAACGGCUUACCAAGGCAACGAUGCAUAGCCGACCUGAGAGGUUGAUCGGCCACACUGGAACUGAGACACGGUCCAGACUCCUACGGGAGGCAGCAGUAGGGAAUCUUCCGCAAUGGGCGAAAGCCUGACGGAGCAACGCCGCGUGAGUGAUGAAGGUCUUCGGAUCGUAAAACUCUGUUAUUAGGGAAGAACAUAUGUGUAAGUAACUGUGCACAUCUUGACGGUACCUAAUCAGAAAGCCACGGCUAACUACGUG